rnacentral:pre_miRNA from 13 species
UGUAGCGAGAUUUUCUGUUGUGCUUGAUCUAACCAUGUGGUUGCCAGGUCUGAGUACAACAUGGUUCCGUCAAGCACCAUGGAACGUCACGCAGCU